rnacentral:sRNA from 1 species
UAUAAUAGUUAUGCAAUAGUCAGGAAACUCAAGGGUGGUCAUCGUUACCCCAGAAGGAAAGUGGGUGAUGCAUAUGAUGACAGUAGAUCAGACAUUAAUGCUUAUGAUAGCAUUUGCAAGUUUGGUAUUGUCCAUCAUAUCUUUUAGAGACAAAAAAUAACCCACCCUUGAGCGUUGGAGUGCAAUAGGGUGAGUUUUUUACCUUAACACGCUGAUCCCCUUUGAAGGGAACCUGCUAUUGUAUGACUGUUUGGUGUUCUAGCACCGAGC